rnacentral:rRNA from 1 species
UGCGGAAGGAUCAUUGUCGAGAUAUGAGCGCGAAAGACUUGUGAACUUGUUAAUCAAAUGGCAUCAUGCCAACUGAUAUUUGCCGAUAAUGGCUUAUUUGUUGGAUGGGCAUAGCCAUGUCACCACUUCUUUAUGGUUGUGGAAGUUGGCAAAAAUGAUCGUGGGCACGGAAUGUGCCAAGGAAAAAAAUUGCUCAUUUCGAUAUUGUCUUCUGUUGGUGGCAUUAAUAAUAUGCUCAAUCAACAGAAAGCUUGUCGUGGCAUUGUGGUAUUGUGUCAUUAAAGAUAUGACUCUCGACAACGGAUAUCUAGGCUCUUGCAUCGAUGAAGAACGUAGCGAAAUGCGAUACUUGGUGUGAAUUGCAGAAUCCCGUGAACCAUCGAGUUUUUGAACGCAAGUUGCGCCCGAGACCUCUUGGUUGCGGGCACGCCUGUUUGGGCGUCACGCUUUAUGUUGCUCCAUCAAACCAUUUCAUAUCAUGUGUUAGAUGGAAGCGAAGAUUGGUUCACCGUGCUGUUAAUAGUGUCGGUGAGCUGAAGUAUGAGAUGACGAUGGAGUUUUGAGUACACAACAUGUGGUGAGCAGAAUUUGUAAUUGUGCCGAUGUUGUUACCUCCUUGCCAUAUUCUUGCACCAAGCGUGUUGAAAGGGGUACCCUCUAAUGCUAGCAAUUGGGGUGUUCUCUUUUGUAUUGUGACCCCAGGUCAGACGGG